GACGAACGCUGGCGGCGUGCUUAACACAUGCAAGUCGAGCGGUAAGGCCCUUUCGGGGGUACACGAGCGGCGAACGGGUGAGUAACACGUGGGUGACCUGCCCUUAGCUCUGGGAUAAGCCUGGGAAACUGGGUCUAAUACCGGAUAUGACUCCAUGACGCAUGUUGUGGGGUGGAAAGCCUUGUGCGGCUAGGGAUGGGCCCGCGGCCUAUCAGCUUGUUGGUGGGGUGAUGGCCUACCAAGGCGACGACGGGUAGCCGGCCUGAGAGGGCGACCGGCCACACUGGGACUGAGACACGGCCCAGACUCCUACGGGAGGCAGCAGUGGGGAAUCUUGCGCAAUGGGCGAAAGCCUGACGCAGCAACGCCGCGUGGAGGAUGAAGGCCCUUGGGUUGUAAACUCCUGUCGGCUGGGAAGAAAUCCUUCGGGGCUCAUACCUCCGGAGGUUGACUGUACCAGCAAAGG
rnacentral:rRNA from 1 species